AGGAAAGGGUAAUCCGUGUAGCCAACGACGGGAUCAUGUGUGUAAAAUGUAGAUCCAUCAUACUUGUUUAACGGUGCAUUAAGCUCGAACCUCCUUGGCAAGUCGGGGUUGGCCAAGAAGAGCCUCCCAUAGGCGACGAGGUCGGCAUAGCCAUCAUCCACCACCUUGUUCCCUUCCUCCCGGUCAUACCCUCCGGAGGCAAUGAAAGUGCCAUUGAAUUGCUUCCGAAAUGGCAGGAGGCCAUGGUUGAUCUUCCUCCGUCCUUCGACGGUGGCCAUCCUCGGCUCCACCAUGUGGCAGUAGAGGAGCUCUGGGUGCUUGUUGAGUUGCCGCACCAUGUAUGAGCCGAGAGCUUCGGGGUUCGAGUCGAAGCAGUCCAUAAAAUCUAUAUAUGGCGACAAUCUGAUCCCAACACGGUCAGCUCCCACCUCGGCGACGACGGCGUCGAUCACCUCGACGGCGAAGCGGCAACGGUUCUCGAGGCUGCCACCGUACUGGUCGGUCCGGCCGUUGGCGCUGUCCUUCAUGAACUGAUCGAUGAGGUAGCCAUGCGCGCCGUGGAUCUCCACGCCGUCGAACCCCGCCUCGAUGGCGUUCCGCGCAGCCACCCUGAAAUCGUCGACGACGUGAGGGAUCUCAUCCGUCCGCAGCCGCCGGGGCUUGGAGUACACCGUGUGUGAAUCGUCCGGUGUGAUCUGCUUGUCUGUGCUUGAGAUCGGCGCCUGCCCAUUCGGCUUAGUUACCGUUGGUGGAGGCCCUGCCGACGUGCGCUAGCUGGCAGAAGAAGAGCGCGCCCUUGCGGUGGACGGCGUCGACGAUGGGUUUCCACGCCUUGACCUGCUGCCGCGUCCAGACGCCGGGGAUCUCCGGGUAGCCCUCCCCGGUGGCGGACACCCCGGUGGCCUCCGAGAUGAGGAGGCCGCCAUUGGUGGCGCGCUGCGAGUAGUACAGCGCCGCGUGCGGCUGUGGCACGUGGUCGUAGGAGCGGCACCGAGUCAGCGGCGCGAGCACCACGCGGUGGGAGAGCUCGAACCGCCCCAUCUUGUACGGCGCCAUAAGCGG
rnacentral:sRNA from 1 species